rnacentral:rRNA from 1 species
GUNAGAUCCUGGCUCAGACUCANGUCGUAACAAGGUAGCCUAGGGCGAAUUCUGCAGAUAUCCAUCACACUGGCGGCCGCUCGAGCAUGCAUCUAGAGGGCCCAAUUCGCCCUAUAGUGAGUCGUAUUACAAUUCACUGGCCGUCGUUUUACAACGUCGUGACUGGGAAAACCCUGGCGUUACCCAACUUAAUCGCCUUGCAGCACAUCCCCCUUUCGCCAGCUGGCGUAAUAGCGAAGAGGCCCGCACCGAUCGCCCUUCCCAACAGUUGCGCAGCCUGAAUGGCGAAUGGACGCGCCCUGUAGCGGCGCAUUNAGCGCGGCGGGUGUGGUGGUUACGCGCAGCGUGACCGCUACACUUGCCAGCGCCCUAGCGCCCG